CUUCCCGGCCCCGCCCCCCGGGCCUCAGGCCGCAGGGUGGCGAGCGCCUCGGCAGUUGGGCCCGCGCGGGGGGGCGGUGCCGGGAGGGCGCCGCCGAGCGCCCAGGCCCCGCUAGCCUCCGCUGCCUCCCGCCUCCUGCCUUCGACCCCGGGGUCCAGACCCGCGUCCCCACCGGCCCUAUGCGCCGCUUCUCACGGGACCCUCACCUCUAACGGGAUAGCAUUCAAUCCAGAGGGUUGGUGUGAGGAUAAAUAAGUUAAUGCUUGUGAAGCCCACGGAACAGUGCUGGAGACCUAGUUAACUCCUACCCAUCAAUUAAGAUCACUCUGCGCAGGAAGCUUCCUCGGAUCCCUUCUCUUCCAUCCUCACCGCAGAAUGGGCUAAAUGCCUCUCGCCUUGCCCUCCCCGCAGCCUGGAGAGCAUUGCCCUUGCUCGAUCGCAUAUGUAUCCUUUGUGUCUGUGUCUGCCACCGGAUGAUAAGCUCAGAAGGGAUCGAACCUGCACCCCCUGCACUGGAAGCACAGAGUCUUAACCAGUGGACCACCAGGGAAGUCCUAAGAUUCUGUGAUUCUAUCACCUUCAGGGCCUAAGUACUUAAGGACACAGUCAAGAACCUGAGACAUAGAAAGAGAAAGGCCUUCCUGAUGGAGCAUAUGCAAAGGGACUGAAGGACCCCCAGUGAAGUGGCUAGAAGAUUUUUCAGAACUAUACUAUCCCACAAGUCUGUCUACCGACUUCACAAGGAAGAUCCUUCAUGAGGUUCGUCUCAGCUCCUGUGAUGGACAGACUCUUGAAGAGGUCACCCACCAUCCUGCUGGCAUUCAUGACUUCAUGUAAUUCCCUCCCCUUGAGUGUGGGCAGGGCCGGCGACUUGCUUCUAACCAAUAGAAUAUGGCGAAGGUGAUCAGACUGAUGGCAGGCAUGUUAUUACAUAAGUGAUUACAUAGUUACAUGACAAAAUUAUAGCACCCAUCUUGCUGGAGUCUCUCUCAUACUCACUCCCUGGUUGGCUCUGAAGAAGCAAGCUGCCAUGUUGGGGGAUGCCUAUUUUGGGGGACCCAUGUGACGAACUGCAGGCAACUCUAGGAGCUGAGGGGGCAACCUCCAACUGACAGCCUGUAAGAAAGUGACAGUCCUACAACUGCAAGGAACCGAAUUCUGCCAACAACCUGAGUGAGUGUGGAAACAGAUCCUUCCCCAGGUGAGCCUCAGAUGAGACUGCAGCCCUGGCCAACACCUUGACUGCAGUGUUGUGGGACUCUAGACAGAGAACUCAGCUAAGCUGGGCUUGGAUUCCUGACCCAUAGAACCUGUGGGGUAAUAAAUAUGUGUUGUUUUAAGCCUGUAA